ACAACUAGUAAUUUAAUAUAUGUUACACAACAAAAUCUUAGACCACAGAUCCUCAACUCUAAAAAUUUGUGAGUGAAGCCCAUGUUACCACUUCCAAGAAACUUCAUAAGCUUACAAAGAAUAUAUAGAAAAUAACCCACAAAUUGUUUUUUAGUGAAAAAGAUGAGAACAUACAAAAGUAGUAUUGAUAAGAAGAACAAAAAAAAAGAUUCCUAGCUAAUUGUUUCUUUAAUGUGAGUUCCCUGCAGCUACUUGAACAAUGGGGCAUGAAGAUUUUGGAUUUGUUGCCACAAACCUUGUAGAAAAAGCAUAGAACUUGUAAUAAUCUUCAUCUAAUAAGCUUCCACAUCCAGUGGUAUCAAAGUUCAAGGAAUAGCUUAAUGGGUCAUAGCAGCAUUGAAAUGAACCUUGUCUAGUUGCAGUUGAGGGUCUAAGUGUUCUGCUACUACGCCUCUUGAGUUUUCUCAUUAGUUUUGUCACAACACAACAACAGUUGCAUGUUGAUGAGGUUGUGUCAGCUAGAGAUUUGGUUGCUAUGGUGGUUGAAGUGGUGGUAGUGAUGGUGGUAGAUUCAUGUUGUGUCUUCAUUGUGGUGUGUUUUUCUUUGAAGGAAUGUUGAUGUUGCUGAAGUGGUUUCACACUUCAAAGUGGGAAAGGAAAGUGAGAGUUGAAAUAAGAAUUAGAGUGAUUCUACCUUAGAUACAAUCUUAAUUUGGCACUGGUAUAUAUAAAGAGAAAUUUGUU
rnacentral:lncRNA from 1 species